UCUGAUAAGUGCUUACUUUUUGGUCUGUGGGAUUUUCUAGUUUCUUUUUCACUCAGGUCAGUUCAAGAUACAGAUGGCUACCAAGAAUAACAAUGAAAUGCUAAAAAUUAUUCAGUCCUCCUAUCAAAUCCAUUCGAACUUACCUGACGUUAUUUCAAUGUAACCAGUGGUUCAAGUACAAGAAACUUCGCCUUCUCUUCAGUGCACUUGACAAUCUAAAUAAAAAACGUCAGUGUUUCCUCUU